AUUGAACGCUGGCGGCGUGCCUAACACAUGCAAGUCGAUCGGUAACAGGUGUAGCAAUACAUGCUGACGAGAGGCGGACGGGUGAGUAACGCUUGGGAAUCUGCCUAUUAGUGGGGGACAACCCGGGGAAACUCGGGCUAAUACCGCAUACGCUCUACGGAGGAAAGCCGGGGACCGCAAGGCCUGGCGCUAAUAGAUGAGCCCAAGUCGGAUUAGCUAGUUGGUAGGGUAAUGGCCUACCAAGGCGACGAUCCGUAGCUGGUCUGAGAGGACGACCAGCCACACUGGGACUGAGACACGGCCCAGACUCCUACGGGAGGCAGCAGUGGGGAAUAUUGGACAAUGGGGGAAACCCUGAUCCAGCGACGCCGCGUGGGUGAAGAAGGCCUGCGGGUUGUAAAGCCCUUUCGGUGGGGAAGAAAAGCCUCGACCUAACACGUCGGGGUAUUGACGUAACCCACAAAAGAAGCACCGGCUAACUCUGUG
rnacentral:rRNA from 2 species